AAUAGCGUGUCUCCAUCCUGACUUCCUAUACCAGUCGAACGCACUGUUCGGCAAGAUGGGCAUGGAACACUACACCAAGGUCAAGGACCUCGGUGGCACCAACGGCGCCUUCCUCGCGCGUGACCGGCAGCAGCCGGACCGGCUUGUCGUCAUCAAGCGGCUGGCGGAUGGCACUCAAGGAAUCGAGGAGCUCAACGCGUCGCUGCGGCUGCGGCACCCGCACAUUGUCCGCUUCCUCGAGUCCUUUGUAUAUAACGGUAGCCUGUUCGUCGUCAUGUCGUACGAGUCCGGUGGCGACCUCGACGGGCUCUUCCACUACCUCACGCAGAGCCACAGGACGCCGACGACGCAUACACUGCUGCUGUGGUUUGUGCAGCUGCUGGAGGCCCUUGCGUACUGCCACGAUAGCCACGUCAUCCACCGCGACAUCAAGCCGAGCAACAUCCUCGUCUCCGAGGACACGAAGGUGCUGUACCUAGGCGACUUCGGCUCUGCCAAGACCCUCAGCACCUCCAACGUCACCUCCACGUUUGUUGGAUCGCCGAUGUGGAUCUCGCCGGAGGUGCUGCUGGGCACUAGCUACGGCUACGCCGCCGACGUGUGGUCGAUGGGCUGUGUUUUCUACGAGAUGGCAACGCUGCGCAAGCCGUUCUCGGCCCCGAGCUUCGCGCACCUGGUGCAGCAGAUCACGUGGGGCCACAUCACACCUCUCCCGGCACACGUAGCGCAGGAGGUGAGAUCGAUCAUCCACUCCAUGCUCGUGCUCGACCCCGCGCAACGCGUGACUGCCAAGGCGGCGCUGGAGGUGGCGCGAGGCGCCCUUGGCCGCGCUGAGGAGCUCCGCCAAGCGUCGCCGUCUCCACUGCGCCCUGCAGGGAUGCCGUCUAAGUCCUCUGCGACGUCCUUGCCACCCCGACUGACGUCGCCGCCAGAGGUGGUCGCGCACCAGCCGCGGCAGACCCCACCGCCGCCGUCCCCUCCGCCGUCGCAACCCUACUCUUCGUGCCCGUCUGCCAGCAGCACCACACCACCUCGAAAGGGGGGCCUCACGCAGACGGCGGCCCCGCCGGUGCCGACCCCAUCGGAUUCAACGCCGCCGCCCUCCAGCACCGUAAGCGACCCGCUGUUGGUUGUCGCGUCGGAGGCGAAGGCCGGCGAGGAUCCGACGCCACACGGAUCCCCUCCCAGUGCAGCCGCACCCGAAUUCUCGUCGCAAGCGGCCGUAGUGAAGCAACGCCCCGGCGCGUCGUCGCCUGCGUCGAUUUUGGAAGAACCGACAGCUUCCCCCACGCCGCAGCCGCCUGUGGGGGGGGCUCCCGCGUCAAUGCAGCCGCCGGCGGUGCUUGUGGUAGCGGCCGCACCGCCAGCCCCCGCAGCGAAGAAGGAAGCAACAGUGCGAGACAAGGGGGCGCCGGCGGCGUCACCGGUGGUGGAUGCACAACUCCGCGUGCCGCAGCAGAUGGUGCUGCAGAUCUCCACCACGGGUUUCAGCAAGCCGGCGCAGCGCAAGAAAGCGGCUCCGAAGCGCAAGAACGUGGCGACGCACAAGGCAGGCCCGCUGCCACUGCGGCAGCGAGUGCCGAGCGUCCCGGCACCGACCUCACCACCAACCGAGGCACCAAAGUUUGUGCGGCAGCUCAGCACAGACUCGCUGUCCAGCCGUCGUGCCGCGGAGCUGUUCGCACCCUCGCGCGGAAGCAGUGGGCCCACAAAGGUGGUGGUGAAGGCGGUGCCGCCGGCGCACGUGGCGAAGCGCGCCUUGGCCGUGGCGGGCAACCGGGAGAACCCACCGCGUGUGCCGAAGGAGUCGCCGACGCGGGAGGCGCGAGCGCUCCAGAAAGCGCCACUGAAGCCGGCGCUACAGCUGCCUCCCAAGCCCGCCGCCCUGCCCUCCGACGCCGCGCCGGCAGACCAGUGGUUUGAUCAGCGGAUGCGUGACCUGUGCGCCAUGGAGAACUACCUCCACCAGCACCGCGUGGAUGAUGACAAGGUGUUGCAGACAUACGAUGCACGACGGCACAAGGAGGAGCAGCAGUGCGAGUCGGCGACCCCAGGGACGCGUGCAGCAGGGAGGCCCCCGGCGGCGCGCCGCCGCAGCCCUGCGACGAAGUUUGCCAGUCCGGCACAGCCACCCGGUGUGCUUGUCAUGACGCCACCGCGCCAUCGCCACCUGUCAGAAGGUAUCCCCGCUCCACCUGCACUGCCCGCUGCGCAACAGCAGCAGCAGCGACAACAGCGGCCUGGCGCGGCCUCGCCCUUCGUGAGACAAGCGUCGUACGUUUGUCAGGGAUCGCAUCCCGCCUGCCGCUCCGAAUCGAGGCAGAGUAGUCUUUCAUCCACGUUCAACGGCCGCCAGGCGAGCAACGCCCGGGCGCGGGCGCGCGUGUCGCUGGAGGAGCAGCUGAAGAACGAGGAGGGGCGCGUGAUCGCGCGCGAGAAGCGCGAGGCGGAGCGGCAGCGGAUGAAGGAGCUCAUCAGCGCACAGCGCGCCGCGGCAAAGCAGCAAAAACGGAAGGCCAGGAAGGACGACGCCGUCGACGUCCAGAUCGUCUUGCCCGACCGCCUGCACUACGCCCCCGACUCCGCCGUGCCGGCGGACUAGGCGAGACGAGAGCGAGGGCCGGGAGUGGGCACAGACAUGUGCUCCAGGCCGCCCUCUCGUGAGAGCUGCUCCUGUGGCAAAGAUGCGCAAGCCGCAGUUAUGUAUCAUACCACUCUUGCGCGUGAGUGUUCGUAUCGUUUUCUCUUCGUUGACCCCACAUAUCCUCCUCCUACCCCGAUGACGUCGGGGCGAGCGGCGGCAGUGAACGCGUUUGUGGUUCUCAUCGGAUAGGCAAAAAGUGUCCGCGCGACUCGAGCGUAUGCCACACCCGGCCCUCGCACCGCCUGCUGGUGUGGGGCGCCUGAGAGCCACCCUACGGUGCGCGGGGUGGGUGGGCGGCGUUGGACCUCACGCCGUGCGGCAGAGAAAUGAGGCACGCUGAUAACAACAGAGAGCAUGACUUCACUCUCUUCCUCCAGAAAGCGUC
rnacentral:misc_RNA from 1 species